UGCGAAAAGGCAGCUAAUACAUGCAAGUCGAGCGGAGUUGAUAGGAAGCUUGCUUCCUUGAUACUUAGCGGCGGACGGGUGAGUAACACGUAGGCAACCUGCCCUCAAGUUUGGGACAACUACCGGAAACGGUAGCUAAUACCGAAUAAUUGUUUUCUUCGCCUGAAGGAAACUGGAAAGACGGAGCAAUCUGUCACUUGGGGAUGGGCCUGCGGCGCAUUAGCUAGUUGGUGGGGUAACGGCUCACCAAGGCGACGAUGCGUAGCCGACCUGAGAGGGUGAUCGGCCACACUGGGACUGAGACACGGCCCAGACUCCUACGGGAGGCAGCAGUAGGGAAUCUUCCGCAAUGGGCGAAAGCCUGACGGAGCAAUGCCGCGUGAGUGAUGAAGGUUUUCGGAUCGUAAAGCUCUGUUGCCAGGGAAGAACGCUUGGGAGAGUAACUGCUCUCAAGGUGACGGUACCUGAGAAGAAAGCCCCGGCUAACUACGUGCCAGCAGCCGGGGGUAAUACCA
rnacentral:rRNA from 1 species